rnacentral:rRNA from 1 species
UACGAAGGGGGCAAGCGUUGUUCGGAAUUACUGGGCGUAAAGCGUGCGUAGACGGCUAUCUAAGUCGGGUGUGAAAGCCCCGGGCUCAACCUGGGAAUUGCAUUCGAGACUGAAUAGCUAGGGUGCGGUAGAGGGAAGCGGAAUUUCCGGUGUAGCGGUGAAAUGCGUAGAUAUCGGAAGGAACAUCAGUGGCGAAAGCGGCUUCCUGGACCAGCACCGACGUUCAGGCACGAAAGCGUGGGGAGCAAACAGG